AGGCAACAUUGUUUAUGGUAAAAAAUGAUCCCUUACUGCUAAACUGAAUCUGAAUGGGGAGAAUUAUAAAUACCUGAUGGGACACCAUGCUUUGGGCUUCAUGAAGUAAGGGCCUCAGAUGGGAACUCCUAGCCUUUCUACUAGGCAAGUCAAGACUCCUCUAAAGCCAGACUGAGGCAAUCCUGACAUCUUGCAGUAAGAAUGGAAGAAGAGAAGACAUAGGAGAGGAAAGGUAACCAACAAAAAAGAAAGUUAUUUUUCUGGAAGCUAUGAUUAGUCCCUGGCUGGCUGAUGCUGUUCAAUUGUCCCUGGCUUCAAGAUAAGAGAGCAGUUUCGCCACAAUGUCAUCAAGAGGUUUUUUAAUUUUGACAAAACCUAAACUAUACCAACUAGAAGUUAAUGCAGAAAUAUAUGGCAUAGCAAAAUCUUUUUUA